rnacentral:lncRNA from 1 species
AUAUGUGUAUUAAAAUGGUCAAAUGCGGAAGCGUAAUAAAAAAUUUUGAUUAACAUCCCUUACACUAAAACCAAAAACGUGCUCAAAGUAUAAAAGAACAAACUAACUAAAAGAGAAACUCGAAAAUAAAAGCUAUAAAUAUAACUACGGAGUCUUCAGGCGUCCCCUUCGCCGUCUUCCUGCGGAACGGGCUCGGGAAC